CAAUCCAAUCCAGGUGGAAAUGCUGAAAAAGGACCUGGAUCAUCAACGGAUAGAGGAGCUGAUGUCUGCCACAUUCUCCAAGCGCAGAAAGGAGAUCGUAGGGGAUCAACCUCUCAUCGGGGAUGUCAUGACCAGAUGGCCGGCCAUGUUCUGUGAGAGACAGGUAUCACAAUAAACAACUCGCCUGAGAUUAGUCACUUAAUCCAUGUUUGACCGGAAAUCAAUGUGUGAGCUUCCCUCCAGGAAGAGCUGGAUUACAUUUUUGCAUUGAGUCUUGCAGUUAGUAUAACUGAGUGGAUGAAAGCCUUUGACAAGACAACCUUAGCUUACCAAAUGGUGAAGCUCUUAACCUUUUUGUCUUUUUCUCAGGUUCGGGCGGAGUUCAAAAGAAUCGUAAGCACAGACCUUCUUGAGUCAUUCCUCAACGGACUUGAUGACCUGGUACCAAGACUGCUUGAAGUGUACGAAGCUGUGACCAAGUCGGGGAAGAAGCCUGCACUGAAAGCCAUUUUAGACUGUGUGAAGAAAGAUGUGAGUAGACGAGCUGAGAAUUCUAAAAUUGGGCACCAGGUGUUAUGUUUGCAAUAAAAUCUCAUCACUGCUUAUAUUUGUCUUGUAGAACACAAACGAAAGGAGAAGGACUGCUGCUCUACUGGGUCUGCCACACUACCUAUCCGAAGACCCAUCCGACAUCAUUAGGAUGUGUGAUGCCCAUGGUGAGAAUCUGGCUGCAGCCAUGAAGGGGAUGCAACUUGGCCUACUGAUAGGCUAUGAAGGUGACAACCAGGAUGCCUUUCCAGAGGUCUUCGAUGUGGCAGUUGUGGUUGAAGAAAACAUUGUGCUACACAACUUCAAGGAUGUGCCAUCCAGCUUCACCAUGCUUCUGGGGAUCAUCUACUGCGUUAACCUUGAGUAUCCACGAGCCAUGAAGUAUUCCUUUGAGUUCCUGCAGAAGGUAGUGAUGAAGAUCAAACCAGAUGAGGCCUCUGCCAGAGUCCACGGUGUCCGAAACAAGCUCCUGAGGUAUAAACUGUAAAGCAUGCCCCACUCGGGAAUGGAAUGGUAAUGCAAAAAAAAUGACGUGAUUUUGUGUUUUUGUUGUUUUACUGUUGUAGUGUACGUUCAUGCACGCAAAUGCCCAGAGUGGGAAACUAUUGUUGUAGUGUACGUUCAUGUUGUUUUACUGUUGCAGUGUACGUUCAUGCACGCAAAUGCCCAGAGUGGGAAACUACUGUUGUACUGUACAUUCAC
rnacentral:lncRNA from 1 species